GUUAAUGUAGCUUAAUAAAAAGCAAAGCACUGAAAAUGCUUAGAUG
rnacentral:tRNA from 1 species